rnacentral:rRNA from 1 species
CUUCGGUGGUGGAUUAGUGGCGAACGGGUGAGUAACACGUGGGCAAUCUGCCCUUCACUCUGGGACAAGCCCUGGAAACGGGGUCUAAUACCGGAUAACACUCUGUCCCGCAUGGGACGGGGUUGAAAGCUCCGGCGGUGAAGGAUGAGCCCGCGGCCUAUCAGCUUGUUGGUGGGGUAAUGGCCUACCAAGGCGACGACGGGUAGCCGGCCUGAGAGGGCGACCGGCCACACUGGGACUGAGACACGGCCCAGACUCCUACGGGAGGCAGCAGUGGGGAAUAUUGCACAAUGGGCGAAAGCCUGAUGCAGCGACGCCGCGUGAGGGAUGACGGCCUUCGGGUUGUAAACCUCUUUCAGCAGGGAAGAAGCGAAAGUGACGGUACCUGCAGAAGAAGCGCCGGCUAACUACGUGCCAGCAGCCGCGGUAAUACGUAGGGCGCAAGCGUUGUCCGGAAUUAUUGGGCGUAAAGAGCUCGUAGGCGGCUUGUCACGUCGGAUGUGAAAGCCCGGGGCUUAACCCCGGGUCUGCAUUCGAUACGGGCUAGCUAGAGUGUGGUAGGGGAGAUCGGAAUUCCUGGUGUAGCGGUGAAAUGCGCAGAUAUCAGGAGGAACACCGGUGGCGAAGGCGGAUCUCUGGGCCAUUACUGACGCUGAGGAGCGAAAGCGUGGGGAGCGAACAGGAUUAGAUACCCUGGUAGUCCACGCCGUAAACGUUGGGAACUAGGUGUUGGCGACAUUCCACGUCGUCGGUGCCGCAGCUAACGCAUUAAGUUCCCCGCCUG